GCAGCACUGCCCUGGCACCAAAGGAGCUGAUAAGACGCACGGAAACACCGUGUCAGGGGCUGUGCAGCCACGCUAAUGCUACAUUUAGAUGCAAGAAUUUGACAGCUUCAUUACUGUGAUUGUCCCUGAGCACUUAUGUAAGGAAAGAGGCUGUUCUCCCCACCAGCUCCCAGGCCCACAGCAUCUAUGCCUGAGCUCCUCAGCAUUUGGAGAGGAGGUGGCCACUGGUUGUACUGACCCCAGACCACUGUCAUAGGGUAAACAUUCCAGGCACCUCAUUUCCUCCUCACAACCACUCUGCCAGGCAGAUAUUGUUAUCACCAUUUAACAAGGAAAAGGAUGAGAUUCAGAGAGGCACAGUAACCACGCUUUCAGCUGCGAGGUACAGAACACUCAGCCACAAGUGGCUGAGACGCUCACAGGCUUCUGGGGCUCCUAGGAGGCCUUGUCACAUUCCACAUUUUUUCUGCAAGAGCUCAAAAGUUGCCUUCUCUGGAAGCUUCCGUGACUUCAGCAGAUGUUUUCCCCUUUCUUGGUUCACUCUGUCAUUUUGGUGGAGCACAUCUUCAGUAGCCUCUUGGAUGCAUGGGAGCAUGGAGCCUGCCAGCCUGCUUCUACCUGGAUCCUAUUUGCCACCUUGGAACAGAAGCUGUCUUGUCAAUGUGUGCAAUGAUUACAUUGGGGGAAGAUGGAGAAGCACAGAACAUUUAUCAACAUAUACCAUAUGUUGGGCUAUAAAACAAGUCUUUUUUUUUGAGGAAGAUUAGCCCUGAGCUAACAUCUGCCACCAAUCCUCCUCUUUUUGCUGAGGAAGACUGGCCCUGAGCUAACACCUGUGCCCAUCUUCCUCUAUGCUAUGUCGGAUGCCUACCACAGCAUGACUUGACAAACAGUGCAUAGGUCUGCACCUGGGAUCCGAACCAGCUAACCCCAGGCCACCAAAGUGGGAAGUGUGCACUUAACCACUGUGCCACCGGGCCAGCCCCCAAACAAGUCUUAAUAAAUUUAAAAGAAUUGAAAUCACACAGAGUAUACCUUCUAUGUGACCCAAGUGGAAUUUAGGUAGCAAUAAAUGAUGGAAAGUUAUCCAGAAAAACCCUAAAUUUUUGGAAAUUAAACAACAUACUUCUGAAUAACCCAUAAAUCAAGUAAGAAAUCUCAAAGGAAAUUAGAAAAUAUUUUGAGCUGAAUGAUAACGAAAAUACAACAUAUCAGAAUUUGUGGGUUACAGCAAAAGCACUGGGAAAGUUAUACACUUAAACACUUAUGUUAGAAAAG
rnacentral:lncRNA from 1 species